rnacentral:rRNA from 1 species
AUACGUAGGGGGCGAGCGUUGUCCGGAAUGAUUGGGCGUAAAGGGCGCGUAGGCGGCUUUGCAAGUCAGUAGUGGCAGUCCAUUUUUCAAGGAUGGAAGUGCUACAGAAACUGCGGAGCUUGAGUGCAGGAGAGGUUAUCGGAAUUCCCGGUGUAGCGGUGAAAUGCGUAGAGAUCGGGAGGAACACCAGUGGCGAAGGCGGGUAACUGGACUGCAACUGACGCUGAGGCGCGAAAGUGUGGGGAGCAAACAGGAUUAGAUACCCUGGUAGUCCACACUGUAAACGAUGAAUGCUAGGUGUAGGAGGUAUCGACCCCUUCUGUGCCGCAGUAAACACAGUAAGCAUUCCGCCUGGGGAGUACGGUCGCAAGAUUAAAACUCAAAUGAAUUGACGGGG